CAGCCGCCGCGGUAAUACCGGCGGCCCGAGUGGCGGUUACUAUUAUUGGGCUUAAAGCGUCCGUAGCCGGGUUGGGGAGGCCUCCGGGAAAUCUGGCCGCCUAAAGGGCAGAAUGCCGGAGGAUACUCCCAGCCUAGGGAGCGGGAGAGGCCGAGGGGAUUCCCGGGGUAGGGGUGAAAUCCUAUAAUCCCGGGAGGACCACCUGUGGGGAAGGCGCUCGGCUGGAACGCGUCCGACGGUGAGGGACGAAGGCCAGGGGAGCAAACCAGAUUAGAUACCCGGGUAGUCCUGGCUGUAAACGAUGCGGACUUUGUGUCGGACAAGCUAUGAGCUUGUCCGGUGCCGGAGGGAAACCGUUAAGUCCGCCGCCUGGGGAGUACGGCCGCAAGGCUGAAACUUAAAGGAAUUGGCGGG
rnacentral:rRNA from 1 species